AGACCGUAGUGUCUGUUCUCAAAUAUUCACGAGGCUCGUUUUUCAGCGUAGGGGGAAUCUUUUACAUGGGGUAGGGUCACGCGGAUUAAAUAGGGCACAUUAAUGGAUGGCCAUGAGACAGGUAGCCAUUGCCUGGGUAUUUUAAGUUGUUCUACAUAUGCUUGACAUUUCUCAAAUAUUCCAUGCUAUUGAAGAGCAAGAAGAAAAAAACAAUCUUGCAGGGGCUACAGUCGGAUGGGCUUGUGAAGAAUGGGGGGUUUUACAUAUUGUUAGCCAUGGAAUUCCACCAGAUCUCCUCCAAAAUUUCGAGUCCUAGUCGCACAACUGUGCGGAAUGCGUGCAAAAAUUAAAGAAAAACUGGCGAUAUUUAACCCUGCAGAGUUUAAAGAAAAGGCGGCCCCUUCUGACCCUGGAGGAAUUGUAGAAAACGGCGCCACUUCUGAUCCUUCAGAAAUCAUAGCAAAGGCCACCAUUUCUAAGCCGAAGGAUAGAAACCCUCGCAGAGCUUGGAGUGGGAACUUCCUUUUCACUGAACCGCUUCAUUGAAAUUCGGCGCAGAGAUAUGCGACAAGAUAUGACAGCAGGAAGGAAACCCUAAGUUCUGGAUCAGUAAAAAUCAUAGUGGCCAGCUUAGGGUUUGACGUGGAGACCACGUACUAAUUGAAAAUCGUUUAACUCACAAGCAUAUUAACAUCUAUUUCUCAGAUAUUAAGAUGAUCCCGCCUCCUCAUACAGAUAUUGGCUGCUGUAGCAUGCUUUAUCGGGACAAGGGGGGCUGUCUCAAGGUUCCGUUAAAGGAAAGAAAGUGGGUGAGUGGACGUGAAGACUCUGCUCACUCAUCUGUCAUCAAUAUAGCGGACUGCUUAAAGUGCGCUCUAUAAUCUAAGGUGUCUGAGUUUUUAAAAUUGCGUAUUAUUAAAAUGAAUUGGAGAUGAAUCAAUAUGUAAAAUACAAAUGCUUAAUGUAUUGAUUGUUGAAUUCUAUCUCUCUAAUUACAUUUCAAGCAAUUGGAAUGAAGAUUUUGAAAAUCAAUUGAUUUUGUCUUUAUCAGUGAUAUUACACAGCAUUGGGGCCUUAGUGUUGUUGAGACAUUUGAAUGGUGAGUUGCAUAUUAUAUUGAAUAGGGAAAUUGAAAGCUCUGCAUAUUAGCAGUGCCACUUUUAGGGCUCUUGCACCAACAAAACACACCACAAUCCACUUGCCGGUGCAGGUAUUUUUGUUUCCUAUGAUGAUCGGUGCAAGGUUAGCUGUUUCUUGUGAUGAUACCUACUGUCACGGGCAGAGUUUGCUGUUUCUUUUGAUGAUCCUUAUCAUCAUGGUGCAGGGUUUGCUUUUACUUAUGAUGAUCGGUGCAAGGUUAGCUGAUUCUUGUGAUGAUUACCAUCGUCAUGAUGCAGGGUUUUCUGCUCUUUAUGAUGAUCCCUAUUGUCAAGUAGAUUGUUGUGUGUUUUGGUGGUGCUUGUGCCUUGGGAGCGGCACUGCAAAUAUACUGGACUUCCAAUUUUUCUAUUCAAUAUAAUACGUUACACAUCAUUCAAAUGUCUCACCAACACUAGAGGCCCCAAUGCUUUGUAAUAUCAUUGACAACGACAAAGUUGUUCAAUUUUUCAAGGUCUUGAAUCCAAUCAAACGAAUAUUGCUUGAAUCUAAUUAAUCAGAGUUAAAGGAUGGAAGGUCAAAAUUUGAUAUAGAAUUCAACAACCAAUACAUAAAAUGUUUUUAUUUUACAUAUUGGUUUCAUCUCUGUUUCAUUUUAAAAUACUUGGUGGAGCACAAGUUUAUUUAUAAAGGGUGGAAGAAUCGCAUAUCACUGCCUUGUUUUGUGCAGUUUCCUCCAGAUAAUCAAAUUUGGGUGCAAAGGGAGCUCAUAUACAAUGAUCAUCCAAAGUGCUACAGGGCUUUUACCUUUGUCCAAGUCAGGCAGGCAUAAUAAUAUGGUUGUUAAAAAAUAACUUUGCAGCUGUUAUGAUACCUACGCAGCUAUAUAAUAGCUGUGCAUCUUCUAUUGAUUAAUAUUUUAUCAUCUACCUAUUUUAUUUGGGAUAUAUUAUCAUUCAAAUAGUCUGUUAGUUGACUGAUUUUGCUGUGGCGUUUUGCCUUCUGUUAUUUUGUUUGGUUCUGUUAACCGCAGAUUGCAAUAAAAGAAAAAGAGAACAUUACUGUAGAGGAAAAUAUCCUUUUUCCUGGGUUAACUAAAUGAAAUUAUCUGCGAGAGAUAAAUGUAUUAAGUUUUAGGAAUGAUGAUGAGUAACUUUGAUAUGCUUUUGGAAUCUAAUUUCCUUGGAAAUAAGAACUGGAUAUUUGCCACA